rnacentral:rRNA from 1 species
ACGGGAGGCAGCAGUGGGGAAUAUUGCACAAUGGGCGCAAGCCUGAUGCAGCGAUGCCGCGUGAGGGAAGAAGGUUUUCGGAUUGUAAACCUCUGUCAACAGGGACGAAAAUGACGGUACCUGUGAAGGAAGCUCCGGCUAACUACGUGCCAGCAGCCGCGGUAAUACGUAGGGAGCAAGCGUUAUCCGGAUUUAUUGGGUUUAAAGGGUGCGUAGGCUGUGCCGCAAGUCAGUGGUGAAAGCCCGGGGCUUAACUCCGGAACUGCCAUUGAUACUGUGGUGCUGGAAUACGGAUGCCGUGGGAGGAAUGAGUAGUGUAGCGGUGAAAUGCAUAGAUAUUACUCAGAACACCGAUUGCGAAGGCAUCUCACGAAUCCGUCAUUGACGCUGAGGCACGAAAGCGUGGGGAUCAAACAGGAUUAGAUACCCUGGUA